rnacentral:rRNA from 1 species
GAUGAACGCUGGCGGCGUGCUUAACACAUGCAAGUCGAACGGUGAAGGCGGAGCUUGCUCUGCUGGAUCAGUGGCGAACGGGUGAGUAACACGUGAGCAAUCUGCCCCUGACUCUGGGAUAAGCGCUGGAAACGGCGUCUAAUACUGGAUACGAGCUGCGAAGGCAUCUUCAGCAGCUGGAAAGAAUUUCGGUCAGGGAUGAGCUCGCGGCCUAUCAGCUUGUUGGUGAGGUAAUGGCUCACCAAGGCGUCGACGGGUAGCCGGCCUGAGAGGGUGACCGGCCACACUGGGACUGAGACACGGCCCAGACUGCUACGGGAGGCAGCAGUGGGGAAUAUUGCACAAUGGGCGAAAGCCUGAUGCAGCAACGCCGCGUGAGGGACGACGGCCUUCGGGUUGUAAACCUCUUUUAGCAGGGAAGAAGCGAAAGUGACGGUACCUGCAGAAAAAGCGCCGGCUAACUACGUG